AAUCAACGCUGGCGGCGCGCUUAACACAUGCAAGUCGCACGAGAAAGUGGAGCAAUCCAUGAGUACAGUGGCGCACGGGUGAGUAACACGUGGGUAACCUGCCCUUGAAUGGGGAAUAACCCGGGGAAACCUGGGCUAAUACCGCAUACGCUCCUUUUGGCUCACGCCAGGGGGAGGAAAGGCGCAAGCCGUUCGAGGAGGGCCCGCGGCCGAUUAGCUAGUUGGUAGGUAAUGGCCACCAAGGCUUUGAUCGGUAGCCGGCCUGAGAGGGCACACGGCCACACUGGCACUGAAACACGGGCCAGACUCCUACGGGA
rnacentral:rRNA from 1 species